UACGUAGGGUGCAAGCGUUGUCCGGAAUUAUUGGGCGUAAAGGGCUCGUAGGCGGUCUGUCACGUCGGGAGUGAAAACACGGGGCUUAACCCCGUGCCUGCUUCCGAUACGGGCAGACUAGAGUUCGGUAGGGGAGGUCUGGAAUUCCUGGUGUAGCGGUGAAAUGCGCAGAUAUCGGGAGGAACACCCGUGGCGAAGGCGGCCAGCUGGGAUACACCUGACGCUGAGACACGAAGGCGUGGGGAGCGAACGGG
rnacentral:rRNA from 1 species